rnacentral:misc_RNA from 1 species
AAGUCGUAACAAGGUUUCCGUAGGUGAACCUGCGGAAGGAUCAUUAAGAAGUUCGGGGACUUCGGGCCCCAACCUCCAACCCUUGACUUAGACCUAUCGGUUUCUUUGCCGGGACAACCCGGCAGAUGACAUCUCAAACUCCUUCAAUAUGAAUCUGAAAAAUUUAUUAAAUUAAAGCAAAACUUUCAACAACGGAUCUCUUGGUUCUG